UAAAACCCUAAACCCUUUUGACAUCAUUUUUCAGAUCAGAUCUCAUCUGCAUAUUCACAUCAUUCGUCCACCGCAAGCCCCUGCAAUGGCUUCAGCCUGCAGGCAAUUCGCCAACAGAGCUUCCCUAUCGUCCAUCCGAUCCGCCGUCAGAUCCAGCGUCCCAAAAUCUUCCGCUUCACGCUUCCCUCUCCCCACCGCCUCCUCUCCCUCCUCCGCCCCUCUUCGACGUUUCUCGCUCUCUAGGCCUCCAGGUGCGUUGGGAUGCGUUCAGUCACUACUUCCACUCCACAGCGCGGUGGCGGCGGCGAGGUUGACGUCGUCGCUGAGCACUACAUCGAGGAGCUGCCGAGCGCUCUCACAGGGUACUCUCUGCCGCACCUCUCCCGGCCUCUAAUAAAAAAAUUUGCUUUCUUUUCUAACUGCACAUAAUGUCCAUUAUGCUUGAACCUGCUAGUUAAGGCUUGCUGCGUCAUUACCAAAUGGAAUUGAUGGUACGUGAGACAUGUAUGCUGUAUAUGGAGGUGGGCCCUGCCAUUUAUGGUCAUUGUGUCUGACUUAAAACUAGAUAUACGUACAUGUUGAUCGGUGAUUAUUGGACAAUGUUCCUACCCAUAUGUAUUAUGAGAGCAAGUUUUAGUGGAUGCUGCAUAUUUGAGUUUACUUUUUUUUAGUUUAUUUUUGUUGUAGAACAUCUCUGAAACGUCCCCAUGAUCACAUUUCUUUAACGUUGUUGUGGAGUCGUUCUGAUUGGGUUCCUUAGUUAAAGAAACUGGGAGUGCAACAGUCUCUGCAUUAUUCUCCUCUUAUAGAGGGUUUCGGUUUGUUUCCUAAUUUAAGCCUUUGUAUUGUUUGAUGAUCCA